rnacentral:ncRNA from 2 species
CUGCUUCACCGGGGGUGUCUGGCGCUUUGCCAGGCUGAGAGAGUCCCCAAACCUGAUCUGGAUCAUGCCAGCGUAGGGAGCGUGAUGGGUUGGAUAU